AUGGACAUGAGGACCCCCGCUCAGCUCCUGGGCCUCCUGCUGCUCUGGCUCCCAGCUAAGGAGGGAAAACACCAGAGAUUUACUCAGCCCAUGUGGACAGUCCUGCCUGGGUCCUCAGGGAAGUCAUCUUAUAACAUGGUUAAUUGUGACAAUAUUUGUUUCCCUGUUUCCAAUCUCAGGUGCCAGAUGUGACAUCCAGAUGACACAGACUACAUCCUCCCUGUCUCCAUCUCUGUUGGUGUCACUUGUGGAGCUAGUCAGGACAUUAGCAAUAUUUAGCCUGGUAUCAGCAGAAACCAGGGACAUCCCCCAUGCUACUGAUCUAUUUGGCAUCCACUUUGCAAUAUGGGGUCCCAUCAAGGUUCAGUGGCAAUGGGUCUGGGACAGAUUUCACUCUCACCAUCAGCAGCCUGCAGGCUGAAGAUGUUACAACUUAUUACUGUUAGCAGUAUUACAAUUGGCCUCCCACAGUGUCACAAGUCAUAAGAUAA